rnacentral:rRNA from 1 species
AUACGGAGGAUGCAAGCGUUAUCCGGAUUUAUUGGGUUUAAAGGGUGCGUAGGCUGUUUUCCAAGUCAGCGGUGAAAUGCCGGGGCUCAACCCCGGAACUGCCAUUGAUACUGGGAGGCUUGAAUGCGGAUGCCGUGGGAGGAAUGAGUAGUGUAGCGGUGAAAUGCAUAGAUAUUACUCAGAACACCGAUUGCGAAGGCAUCUCACGAAUCCGCUAUUGACGCUGAGGCACGAAAGCGUGGGGAUCAAACAGGAUUAGAUACCCUGGUAGUCCACGCAGUAAACGAUGAUAACUAACUGCCGGCGAUAGAGUGUCGGUGGCCAAGCGAAAGCGAUAAGUUAUCCACCUGGGGAGUACGACCGCAAGGUUGAAACUCAAAUGAAUUGACGGGG